ensembl:lncRNA
GGUCCUAGUGCAGACUUCAACAAGAGACCAAGGAGAAGAAGUUAAAGAUGGAGGUAUCAGCAGUCAAGCUUGGGGUCCCAAUGUCAUCCAGUUAAAUGGACAAAUUAAUUAAUAAAUCAUCUGUUAUGUAAGCGAGGAAUACAUUUAACAAAAUGUAUGCCCAUCCUCAGAGUUGAAGUUAGAAAGAGAAGCAAACAGUAGGCAUGAAGAAGAAAAAGAAAAGCUAAAGGGAAAAUAUAGAGUUAAGAAGACAUUGAAGGAAUCUGAAGAGAAGAUAAAGGAGAAGGACUCAACUCUGGAGGAGAUGAAGAAGACAUUGAAUCUGAAGAGAAGAUAAAAGAGAAGGGCUCAACUCUGGGGGAGAUGAAGAAGACAGAAGAGAAGCAUCUAAAGGAAAAAGACAGAAAAGUAAACUUGCUCAACAGUUGAGCGAUUUGAAGUUUGAAAUGGAGAAACUGAAAACAAAAACCUCAGUCCUGAAGACCGGU